GCGGGAGUGGCGGAAUUGGUAGACGCGCAAGACUAAGGAUCUUGUGGGGAGACCCGUGGGAGUUCAAUUCUCCCCUUCCGCACCA
rnacentral:tRNA from 1 species